rnacentral:rRNA from 1 species
UACGGAGGGGACUAGCGUUGUUCGGAAUUACUGGGCGUAAAGCGCACGUAGGCGGAUUUGUAAGUCAGGGGUGAAAUCCCCGGGGGCUCAACCUCGGAACUGCCUUUGAUACUGCAAAUCUCGAGUCCGGAAGAGGUGAGUGGGAAUUCCUAGUGUAGAGGUGAAAUUCGUAGAUAUUAGGAAGAACACCAGUGGCGAAGGCGGCUCACUGGUCCGGUACUGACGCUGAGGUGCGAAAGCGUGGGGAGCAAACAGGG